rnacentral:rRNA from 1 species
AACGAACGCUGGCGGCGCGCCUAAUACAUGCAAGUCGAGCGAGAAGACGUAGCAAUACGUUUGUAAAGCGGCGAACGGGUGAGGAAUACAUGGGUAACCUACCCUCGAGUGGGGAAUAACUAGCCGAAAGGUUAGCUAAUACCGCGUACGCUCCUUGGACUUCGGUUCAGGGAGGAAAGCGAUACCGUGGGUAUCGCGCUCUUGGAUGGGCUCAUGUCCUAUCAGCUUGUUGANGAGGUAACGGCUCACCAAGGCUUCGACGGGUAGCUGGUCUGAGAGGACGAUCAGCCA